AAGACCUUGCGCUUUUGGAGCGGCCGAUGUCUGAUUAGCUUGUUGGUAAGGUAAAAGCUUACCAAGGCUUCGAUCAGUAGCUGGUCUGAGAGGACGACCAGCCACACUGGGACUGAGACACGGCCCAGACUCCUACGGGAGGCAGCAGUGGGGAAUUUUGGACAAUGGGCGCAAGCCUGAUCCAGCCAUGCCGCGUGAGUGAAGAAGGCCUUCGGGUUGUAAAGCUCUUUCAGCCGGGAAGAAAAGGUUGCGAUUAAUAAUCGCAAUUGAUGACGGUACCGGAAGAAGAAGCACCGGCUAACUACGUGCCAGCAGCCGCGGUAAUACGUAGGGUGCGAGCGUUAAUCGGAAUUACUGGGCGUAAAGGGUGCGCAGGCGGUUUUGUAAGUCAGAUGUGAAAUCCCCGGGCUUAACCUGGGAACU
rnacentral:rRNA from 1 species